rnacentral:lncRNA from 1 species
GCUGGUGUUGUCUGCUGUCUCCGUAAUUUUUGACCAAAAUUUCCUGGAUGGAUGUGAAAAAAACGGCAUCAUGCUUGGUUUUCAUGAAAGUAAUGCAGUGAGCAAGGUCCAAUGAGAGAGGGCAGGGAGGUGAAGCCAGGGUCUGCCCCUAGGAAUGAAUGGUGGCUGCUCCUUUGUUGCUUUGUGUGUCUCCUGCAGCCUGGCAGAUGGGCAUGAAUCGACGUGUUUGUUGCAAAUCCUUGUCCUCUGCCUGAAAGAGUAAGGAAAUGGGAGGCCUUUGACUGCUCUACUGAUAAGGUCAUUUAUGCCCACCUGUUUUUCAUCAUUGUUUUCCUGGGCUGAAAUGUCCAUGCUUGUGCUUUGAAGGGAGCUCUGUUAUCUGUGUGUGCAGUCCGCUGUGUCACCUGCAAUCCCAUUGCUGUCCCAGAUAGAGUGAUGAAUUUGCUGGUGUUGGCCUCUGUCUCUGCAUUUUUGACCAGAGUUUCCUGGAUGGAUGUGAAAAAUACUGCAUCAGGCUUGGAUAUCAUGGAAGUAGUGUGGCCCCUGCCUUGGAGUUCUGGGAAGAGGUUGCCAUGAUGAGUUUAUCUAAUGCGUCAGGAGCCGCUGCUGUCAUGCAAGUGAGCAGGUGUGCAAGGUGUGAGAGGAGAGGGCAGGGAUGAGAAGAUUGGUAUUGCCCUGACUUGAUAGCACAUGGCUGCUCCUCCUUUCUUGCUUUGUGUGUCCUUAUAUCCUACCUCUCUGCUCUGUACUGUUGUGUUUGUUAUGUUCACUUGUCUUCUGCAUACUGUUAGGAAAUGGAUAGAUGGUAUUUCUUUUCUGGGAUGUUAAAUCAUUGCAAGUCAUUAUCCAUUAUUUACUUUCCUGUGGUGUUAAAGCUGCUUUACUCAAGUUUUUAAGUCUCUGUUGCCUCGCCAUAAGACCCUCAUGAGCUUCU